CACUGCCGAUCCCGACCCUCUCUUCCCCGAUUUCCUUCUCCCCUCUCUUCUUCCCGAUCUCUCUCUGUUCUCUCUCGCGGGCAAGCGACGGCGACGGGAGCAAGGCUCCAGCUCCGGCGAUCCUUCUCCGCUGGCAUCGAUGCCUAUUAAUCUCAGAUCUGGCUGGUGUUCUUUCCUCUCCUCGCUGUUGCCGAUCAUUUCUCGAGCCCUAACCUCUCAGCAGAUGGCCGACCAUCGCUCUUCUCAUGAGAUCGGGUUAGCAGCGCCUGAGGUACACGCGGUGCCCUAGUUGAGAUCUUGCAGUGGGUGUGAUUGAUUCCAAUCCGUGUCUCCUCAAGUUGGAUCAGAUUGGGCGACACCUCCUGGAGGCAACCGAUCGAGAGGUAUCCGGUUAGUGGACAGCAGCUGGAUUAGGGCAGUGAGGUGAGGUGCUGUUUUGGUGGAGUAUUUGCUUGAUUCCGGCCACCACAUCCCUGUCAACAAAUUGGCACAUCUGAGGCAAGCAACAAUCCUUGCUGUGGAUCAACAAUCAUGGUUGGAGGUGAAGUGGUGCUCUGUGGUAUUCUUUGUCCAACAGAUCACCUUGUCUUUCCAGCUAGCUCAGUUGGUUUCCAGCAGCUACAUUAGGGCUGUGAGGUUUUGUUCUGUUCUUGCUGUGGUGUUUCCUUGCCGGCAGCACUCAAACCAGCAUCAACAGUAGCUUGAUUGAGGUAUGUGUAGGAGCAAUUGAUACAUGAGCAGGUUGUGGAUGGAUUAUACAAGUUUUUGAUUGUGUGUAGGUUUUUGAUCUUGUUGUAAAAUGGUUAAUUUAGGUUUAUAUGUUGAAUUAGGGAUUAUUGGAUUACAUGAUUACUGGAUGGUUAGUGAUUGUGAUUAGAAUUAAUUGUUUAGAUUAAUCUAAUGGAAUGAUUAGGGUUAAGGUUAUUAAUCCUAGUCAACCGUUAGAUUUCUAAUCUAACGGGUGAUUAGGGAUUAGGUAAUUAACCCUAAUUGACCGUUAGAUUUGAUUAGGUAGGAUGAGUUGGAUAUGAGUAGGGUUUUACCCUAAUUUGGU